CUCUCUCUCUCUCUCUCUCUAUUUGGCUGUGUUGGCUGCUUUGGAGUUAAGAUGGACGCGCCGAGCGCGCAGGAGAUGUCGUACAUGGAGCACGUCCAGAGACGCCACGAGGAGAAGGGCUUCCUCUACGCCUGGUAUCAUCACAGUCUCAUCUCCAUUCCAUAUGAUAUACAUCAAGUGACUGCAGAUUGAGGUUGGAAGGAUGUUUUCUUGACUUAUUGUGGCUUCUUGAUCCAUUUUGUGGCAGUUUAUUCGCCUUCUGUUGCUGCUUCUGCUGCUUUGAGGCCUGCGAGUGCUGCCUCGAGUGCCUCUGCUGCUGCUUCUGAUCAGUACCGAUCAUGUCGAUCGGGCAUGAUACGUAGUAGUAUGUUGAAUAAAGCUGCUUGAUAUGCUACUUGUGAACUCUUCUCGAGUUCCUUACAUGUUUGUAUCGUGAUUUGUGUAUCUGUAAGUGGGUACUGUUGGAUUUGUUUGGUAGGACUAUCGAUGUUGCUUGAUGGUUCAUCAGAUGUUAAUCUUACAAGUUGGUCUCAUGUUGAUGAACUUGAGAGUUAGCACUUGCAGUGGGUGCUUCCAUUUUCCACCUUGAGAUUUCUCCUACUUGU
rnacentral:lncRNA from 1 species